rnacentral:rRNA from 1 species
UACAGGGGGUGCAAACGUUGCUCGGAGUUAUUGGGCGUAAAGCGCGCGUAGGCGGCCGCUUAAGUCGGAUGUGAAAGCCCCUGGCUCAACUGGGGAAGUGCACCCGAAACUGAGUGGCUUGAGUACUAAAGAGGGUCGCGGAAUUCCCGGUGUAGAGGUGAAAUUCGUAGAUAUCGGGAGGAACACCGGUGGCGAAGGCGGCGACCUGGGUAGAUACUGACGCUGAGGCGCGAAAGCGUGGGGAGCAGACAGG